rnacentral:tRNA from 1 species
GUGGCGCCAGGCCGGCUUCGAAGGCGGCGCCUGACACGCGCCGGGCGUAGCCCGCGGCGAAGGCGUCAGGUUCGUGCGAGCCGCGCGCGGUACA